UCCCUGGUGGCUCAGACGGUAAAGCGUCUGCCUGCAAUGCAGGAGACCCAAGUUCGAUUCCUGGGUCGGGAA
rnacentral:tRNA from 1 species